AGGACGAACGCUGGCGGCGUGCUUAACACAUGCAAGUCGAGCGAUGAAGCUCCUUCGGGAGUGGAUUAGCGGCGGACGGGUGAGUAACACGUGGGUAACCUGCCUCGUAGAGGGGAAUAGCCUUCCGAAAGGAAGAUUAAUACCGCAUAAGAUUGUAGUUUCGCAUGAAACAGCAAUUAAAGGAGUAAUCCGCUAUGAGAUGGACCCGUGUCGCAUUAGCUAGUUGGUGAGGUAACGGCUCACCAAGGCGACGAUGCGUAGCCGACCUGAGAGGGUGAUCGGCCACAUUGGGACUGAGACACGGCCCAGACUCCUACGGGAGGCAGCAGUGGGGAAUAUUGCACAAUGGGGGAAACCCUGAUGCAGCAACGCCGCGUGAGUGAUGACGGUCUUCGGAUU
rnacentral:rRNA from 1 species